AUGGGCCGCAUGACCUGGACAAGGUGGCUUUAUUGUUUUGCAGGCCUGCUGCUCGGGCAUUAAGUAUCAGGGGCAUGUCGGUCGAGCUCCCAAUAAUGGAGUCGCGUUGAAUCAAUGCCGGCGGAGGAGACGUAGAGAUGGAGCUUCCCUUAAUCACUUCAGUUUCUACAUAUGUUCAUUGGUGGAUUUUCCCUUCCGCUUCAAUACUCGUUUCCCAUGUUUUUGCAUAGGAAUAGUUCAUGCAACGCAUCAGGAGAUGGCUCAGAUCUUUGGCGGACAACACCUCCUCUUGGCUCCUUCUGUGCACUGCCGCGAUCUUCAACAUGGAGCCCUUCCAGUCCCAGGCCUUUCUUCCUGGUCAUCCGAUGCUGUCACACCUUCUAUUUGGAUUUUUGGAUAUGUAAAAGAGGCUUGCUUAUAAUAAUCUAUUGUUGAUGCAUGGUGACCUGAAUCAACGUUCUUUUCUAUUUCAGUGGUACCUUUUCUUACCCCUCACGUGUUUAGAUCUAUUAUCCUUGAUUACAUGGGAAAUCUUUGUUUUUUAUCCCCAAGUUGUAUCAGUAAUGAAAUUACCUGUGAGAUGUGCCACAACAGCAUCAGUGGUCUUGUAUA